rnacentral:rRNA from 1 species
UACGUAGGGGGCAAGCGUUGUCCGGAUUUAUUGGGCGUAAAGAGCGUGUAGGCGGCCAGACAGGUCCGUUGUGAAAACUCGAGGCUCAACCUCGAGAUGUCGAUGGAAACCGUCUGGCUAGAGUCCGGAAGAGGAGUGUGGAAUUCCUGGUGUAGCGGUGAAAUGCGCAGAUAUCAGGAAGUACACCUAUGGCGAAGGCAGCACUCUGGGACGGUACUGACGCUGAGACGCGAAAGCGUGGGGAGCGAACAGG